rnacentral:lncRNA from 1 species
GCCCAGGCUGGAGUGCGCUGGCGUGAUCUCGGCUCACUGCAUCCUCUGCCUCCCGGGUUCACACCAUUCUCCUGCCUCAGCCUCCCAAGUAGCUGGGACUACAGGCGCCUGCCACCAUGCCUGGCUAAUUUUUUUUUUUGUAUUUUUUAGUAGAGAUGGGGUUUCACCGUGUUAGCCAGGAUGGUCUCGAUAUCCUGACCUCGUGAUCUGCCCGCCUCGGCCUCCCAAGAGGUCACUUUUGACUGCAACAUGCAAUUUCCUGGAGAGAUGAAUUAGCUGCUCACACCGAGAUGAUUAGCGUCACAGGGUGUCUGAAGCAGAUUGAAGCAGACACUCCCCACGCUGGAGGCGGCUGUGAAAUUAUUCCAGCAGUACAGUCUGUUUGUUCCACAAUUAAUGUUACGCAGUUGGGAUUUCAUGCUCAUCUUCACGUUUGUUUACAUUUCUCUCAACUGCAAGUGGUGCCAUGUAUUGUGUGUGUGUGUGUGUGUGUGU